CACCUCGGGUCGCUGCUCGGCUCCAGCCCAGCUCUACCCUCGCGGCGGCCCCCGCUGCGACCCGAAACUAGUCUCGGGGGCGGGCCUGGGAACCGGGGAGCCUUUCUCACUGGCAAGGAGAGUUCUCCAAGUUGGGGGCAGAAAGGCCGAAUGAACAAUUUUAUCCACAGGGUGAGGGCGCCAGGAGGAGUGCGAAGGUCCUGGUGGGCACAGCGACAGCUUCAGCUGCGCUGACAGCCAAUGUGCCUGAGGAAGCCACCGCCAAGCCUGGAUGUCAGACAUUACAGCCUUAGGGAGUACCAGUCUGUGUGCAGUCCAGCCACUGAAGGCUCAAGCUUAGCACGUACUUAGUGACGCCAGCCACCCCUACCACUUUGCAUUCACAGUGCACAAAAGGCUAAGCCGUUGAAAGUUCAAGAGGCUAGAAGAGACCUGCGUGAACAAAGUUUCUCUUUCUCUUCUC